ACCCAGCUGAUGAGUUCCAAAUAGGACAAAACGCACGUCAAACUGGAU
rnacentral:hammerhead_ribozyme from 1 species